ACAGCUCAGCGUCUGUAGGAUAAGCAGCAGUCCUCAUUGCCAGAGUGCGAGUUUUCAAGAUCAACGUCAAACCACAAAUUAUAUCGUUUGUCAGAUCACCAAAUAUUCUCCCCUUUCCAGUACCCGAAGUAGGGCCAGGUUUUCAAGAUCAACGUCAAACCACAAAUUAUAUCGUUUGUCAGAUCACCAAAUAUUCUCCCCUUUCCAGUACCCGAAGUAGGGCCAGGUUUUCAAGAUCAACGUCAAACCACAAAUUAUAUCGGU